GACGAACGCUGGCGGCGUGCUUAACACAUGCAAGUCGAACGGUGAACCUCUUCGGAGGGGAUCAGUGGCGAACGGGUGAGUAACACGUGGGCAACCUGUCCCCGGCUCUGGGAUAACUCCAAGAAAUUGGGGCUAAUACCGGAUGUUCACCGCUUCCCGCAUGGGUGGUGGUGGAAAGGGUUUCCGGCUGGGGAUGGGCCCGCGGCCUAUCAGCUUGUUGGUGGGGUAGUGGCCUACCAAGGCGACGACGGGUAGCCGGCCUGAGAGGGUGACCGGCCACACUGGGACUGAGACACGGCCCAGACUCCUACGGGAGGCAGCAGUGGGGAAUAUUGCGCAAUGGGCGGAAGCCUGACGCAGCGACGCCGCGUGGGGGAUGACGGCCUUCGGGUUGUAAACCUCUUUCAGCAGGGACGAAGCGCAAGUGACGGUACCUGCAGAAGAAGCACCGGCCAACUACGUG
rnacentral:rRNA from 1 species